GCGCACCAGGCGAGAAUCUUCCACAAUGGACGAAAGUCUGAUGGAGCGACGCCGCGUGCGGGAUGAGGGCCUUAUGGGUUGUAAACCGCUGUCAGGGGGGAAGAACAUCGGAAUGAACAAUACUCAUUCCGACUGACGUUACCCCAGAGGAAGCUCCGGCCAACUCCGUGCCAGCAGCCGCGGUAAUACGGGGGGAGCAAGCGUUGUCCGGAAUUAUGGGCGUAAAGGGCGUGUAGGCGGCGAGGUAAGUCGAAUGUGAAAAUCUCACGGCUCAAACCGUGAAACUGCGUUCGAGACUACCCUGCUUGAGUACGGGAGAGGUGUACGGAAUUCCUGGUGUAGCGGUGGAAUGCGUAGAUAUCAGGAGG
rnacentral:rRNA from 1 species